rnacentral:rRNA from 1 species
UACGAAGGGGGCUAGCGUUGUUCGGAAUCACUGGGCGUAAAGGGCGCGUAGGCGGCUGUUCAAGUCGGGGGUGAAAGCCUGUGGCUCAACCACAGAAUUGCCUUCGAUACUGGACGGCUCGAGACCGGAAGAGGUCAGUGGAACUGCGAGUGUAGAGGUGAAAUUCGUAGAUAUUCGCAAGAACACCAGUGGCGAAGGCGGCUGGACUGGUCCGGUUCUGACGCUGAGGCGCGAAAGCGUGGGGAGCAAACAGG